UUCCCAAUACAAAAUAGAAGGAAGAGAGCAAACACUGCACAGAUGCAUAAUACAGGUAAGCAAUCUGUACUAGUUAAUACCUAUGAGUGAGCUAAAAUUCCUUGACCAGUCACUCCAGUAAAGCAAAACAUUAUUUAAUAUUUGGUCUCAGUGGACUUCUACUUAGUAGCAUGUUCCAUCAGAUUUUCCUAAAGUAGUUGGCAGUAGCUGAAAGAAUUUGUAGUUUCACCAAGUCAUAUUCAUAACAGAAAAUGAGUUCUAUUAAAGAAAAUUGCCCUCCCAUGUGCACUCUGUGAACAUGAUACUGCUAGUUGGCAUAGUGACACAGAAAAUGAUGCUGAGUUUUACAUCUACAUCCUGAGAUACCUACAGCAGGUCAUCUCUGCUGGUAUCAUAUGUAGUGGAGAGCUGCUUAGGAUAUUGUUGAUGGAAGCACACCACAGACAAAUAUAUGUGUGUCUAUGGACUGUAUGUUCCUUUGCAGAUUUCUUGUUUUCACAAAGAUAUUCUGACUGUUCUGGAAGUUUGAGUUUGGUUUUUCAAAAUCACCUAGAGGUAGAUGAACUACCUAAGCUACUCCUGAUAAGAAGUCACGUGGAGAAUUCUGAAACCAAAAGUAGCCUGCUACCAAAGGAGGUAAUGUGUUCACAUGAUGGUUCUUAUACUGUCAUAUCUUCUGUACAUACAUAUAUGCAUAGGCAUGGAUUCUCUGGACCAAAUGAUAACAUCCAAAGUGACACAUUAGCACUUUUCUCUCAAGGAAGCCCCACAGUGUUCAGUGUAGCUGGUUUUGCUCUAAGAUACCAUACACUGUGUAGAUGGGUACCAUAGUCAGACAUAUUGCAAACAAAUAAAUUGUCUCCAAUAUUGUGUGUAAACAGACUCUUCCCCACACAAAUGGCACUGAAAUGCUUUACACAUAAAAAACAGCAUGUGGGUUAAUGAGACCCAGAAGUUUCUGAAGACUCAUUUUAUUUUAAGUAAGUAAAUGCAAUCAAAGCUUUUACU
ensembl:lncRNA